rnacentral:rRNA from 1 species
GGGUUUAACGAGCGGUGACCUGCGGAGGAUCAUUAACGAAUAUAAUUCGAGGGGUUGUCGCUGGCCUCGCUCGCGCGAGGCAUGUGCACGCUUCUCGUUUUUCUCUCAACUCACCUGUGCACCUAAUGUAGGAUGCCUCUCCUCCGGGAGGGGGGACCUAUGUCUUCGUAACAUCUUCGUGUAGAAAGUCUUUGAAUGUUUACUAUCAUCGAGUCGCGACUUCUAGGAGACGCGGUUCUUUGAGAUAAAAGUUAUUACAACUUUCAGCAACGGAUCUCUUGGCUCUCGCAUCGAUGAAGAACGCAGCGAAAAGCGAUAUGUAAUGUGAAUUGCAGAUCUACAGUGAAUCAUCGAAUCUUUGAACGCACCUUGCGCUCCUCGGUGUUCCGAGGAGCAUGCCUGUUUGAGUGUCAGUAAAUUCUCAACCCCUCUCGAUUAGCUUCGAGAGGGCGCUUGGAUAGUGGAGGUUGCCGGAGACUUGGAUUCGUCCGAGACUCGGGCUCUUCUGAAAUGCAUCGGCUUGCGGUCGACUUUCGACUAUCUGCGACAAGGCUUUCGGCGUGAUAAUGAUCGCCGUUCGCUGAAGCGCAAGACUGAACGUCCCGUGCCUCUCAUACGUCGACCGCUUAUUAUCUCUCCCGAGAGAACAGGGUCUUCCUUAUUGACUCUUGACCUCAAAUCAGGUAGGACUACCCGCUGAACUUAAGCAUAUCAUUAAGCGGAGGAAGGA